AUUCUAUCUUGUCAGAGGCCACCUAUCAUAGGCUAAUGAUCAUUAUUUCUUUAUAUUUAGUACACUUUAGAGAAAAAAAUAAUGGAUGCUUUUGGAGUAACUAGGUUUCUUGUCCCCAUGGGAACCACUUGAAUACAAGUAACAUUUCACUGUGGGGUAAAAUUUGUCUAAAAUGUUAAGGAAGUAACUAAUUGAAAAAAGCAUCCAUCAUUUUUUUUAGCAUUGUCUUGGGAAUCUCCUCUGAAAAAAUCAGCAAGAUUGGUCAAAUAGUUUUCAAGUUAUUAGGUUUUAGGUGACGGCCCCUGCCGAAAAUACCAUUUUCGAGAAAACGGCUAACAAAGUUUAUAAACCAUGCACAAGUGUUUUCCAUGUGUUGUGCUCUAGUAAAGACAUUUAAAAACUAAUGUCAAACAUUGUUGGUCAACUCUGAUGUUAUUUCAACAGUAAUUGAGCAUGUGAAGCAUUGUCACUGCUAUCAGAAGUGUCUGAAUCUGCUUCAGGUAAAAUCCUAGCAUAUGGUAUGUUGCCGUCAUCACUUGAAAUAUCAACUUGGCCCAAUGGAUCAGCUUCAUUAUACUUUCCACUGCUAUAGGAUGGUUCACCUUUCUCAUUCUGCUGUUGAGCUGCCAAUUUGGCUUCUCUCAUCUUUCUUCUUGUUGCUUUUCCCGACAUUGACGCUUUUCAAAUAGAUCAAUAUCCUCGUUUCGACCAUGUACCGACAUAACUUACUGCAAUCUGUACCACUUUCGACUCAUUUGGUUCAUGAAGUGAACUCACUUUUUCUUUUGCUUUUUCUAAAUUUUCUGCUACAACCUUCUUAUGUGUGGUUAUUCCAUGCACUGCGAUUGCGCAGGGAAGCCAUGUUCAAAAUGUCAUGCAUCGCAGACAUGCUUUCUCUGCUGACACCCAUUUCUGAUGCAGCAUACACCAUCCGUCUAUUGAUGUCCAUAGCAGUUUGACCCACUGGUGUUCCCUGAAGUUGGUGGAGCUCUACUUUAAUGUCACACUUGAAUCAUUCUAUUUCAAUAACCAAACUAUUGCCAUAAGUCCGAGCCACCUCAUCUCUCAAGGUCAACUCUUUCCCCAGCCUGGCAUAAUUAGUGUAAGGGCUGGAAUACACUCAUCAAACUUGACAAUUCUAUCAGUCUAUAGCUGAAAGAAUUCUCCAAAUCAUCACUGUUACCAGCAGCUUGAUUACAAAACUUUCGUAUAGAUGCAGUUUCUCUUGCAGGAGUAGUUUUCCCUGUACUUGAGGCUGUUGAGCAUUGUUCAAAAAUCAAAAUAUGUUCAUCAUCAAAUGUUCACACGAACUUGUACCCUCGACAUUCCAGCGAUUUUUGCCUCGAAAUCGCUUCUUUUUCGAUACUUUCAGCAUGAACAAAUAA